UACGUAGGGUGCGAGCGUUGUCCGGAUUUAUUGGGCAUAAAGAGCUCGUAGGCGGUUUGUCGCGUCGGCCGUGAAAUCUCCACGCUUAACGUGGAGCGUGCGGUCGAUACGGGCAGACUUGGGUUCGGUAGGGGAGACUGGAAUUCCUGGUGUAGCGGUGAAAUGCGCAGAUAUCAGGAGGAACACCGGUGGCGAAGGCGGGUCUCUGGGCCGAUACUGACGCUGAGGAGCGAAAGCGUGGGGAGCGAACAGG
rnacentral:rRNA from 1 species